rnacentral:lncRNA from 1 species
AGAGUGGACGAGGGCGGGGGAAUAGCAUUCCACCUGAAGCAUUGGCAGAGUGGGUGGCCAGGGUGCGGUGGGGAGUCCGCACAGCCCUGCACUGUCACUCCAGGAGAGCUGCUCCUUCCCAGGCUGCCCUCGGCUGAGGCCCCCUGCCUGAUGAGUGUGCGGAACCCAGUCUUACCUCGCUGAACGCCAUCCCCCUGGCUGCUGUGGCUCUGGGGAAGUUAAUCAGCCUCUGGAAGGUGAACACUCUGUGCAGCCAGUGGGUGCAGAAGUGGCUGAACACGUGGACGCUGCCGAGGACACGGUCCUCAGGCCCAGACAGGCCAGGACCCAGCCUGUGCUGCGAGCGUGAGCUCAGCCGCGGCCGUGGGGCUGCUCCCAUGCCCCCGUGCUCUGUCUCCAACUCUAAAGGCUACAAGGUUGUUUCGGUUUUUUUUCUUUUUCUGGUGGCACCUGUGGCAUAUGGACGUUCCCAGAGAAGGGUUCCAAUGGGAGCUGCAGCUGAGGCCUAUGCCACAGCCACAGCCACACUAGAUCCUGAACCCACUGAGCGAGGCCAGCGAUCCUCACGGAGGACAAUGUCAUCCUCAUGGAAACAAUGUCAGGUCCUUAACCCACGGAAACACCAUGGGAACUCCAAAGGCUGCAGGUUUUAGAGGCAAGACCUGAGCAAGCCCAAGGUACGGACCACCAGCCCCUACCUCCCGCCUGGAGCAAUCAGAUAACACCCCAAAGAAUGUGGAACUUACCUAAAAGGUCAGAUACUUGGGGGCGGGGGCGGGGGUGCCGAAGGGAGAACUUGAAUGCCUAGGGUCUUCCUCUCAGCCACAGGGGAAGGGGCUUCUCCAUCCAGGGUUUGCUCCCCUGGGCAGCGUUGUCGGGGGUAAGGCCCUAGUUCAGCCAGCCUCAGAGGUUCAAGAGCAAGUUCAAGGUCAAGUGGCACCACUUUCUUGCUAUAGGAACGCAGAAAGACCAACUUAAAGGUACCCAAAAUGUGACUGUGUCUGUUAAGAGAUGAAAAUUCCCAGGUGGGAGUUGGGUGAAGGGGGGGGAUUGAGCCCCUUCACCUGAGUCUAGCCCAGGAGUAGUCAGAGCUUCCUGAACAGAAUGCAGGAAAGGAAGGGGGAAAGGGGCUGGGCGGGUAACGAGGAUGCUGAAGACACAGGCUUUCUCCUUGCCCUCCCCUGCCUCCACAGGCUCUGCCUCCCUAGACAAGGCUGUGCUUCGGGCAAGAAGUCAAGUUCAUGGGCUCAUGCCCAGCCUCUCUUCCCUGAUGAGCUGCUAUUCACUGGGAUGCAGUAAGAGCCUGCCCUUGAGCGGGAGGGUGGCAGCACUCAGCAUUCUGGAGCCAGUGUGCUCUCCACACCACUGUCAGGACCGAGGGGUGGCCUUCUGGCCCUGAGUAGUUCUGUUGGAUGCUCAGAAAUGACCUCGCAGACUCGAGGCUCCAACUGCAGAGUUUAAACUGACCUUCAUCACUGGUCUUUGAAUAAUUCAUUUCAGAUUCAUCAUUUGUAAGAACAAGGCUUGAGGGCUUUGGGGGUUUCUGAUCAGGCAGCAAGGAGACUGUGUAUUACAGUCUCUCAGCACACUGGACUUGAGUCAGUUUUUAUCUUGAAUCCACUCACAUUCACACCUCCUACCCCAUUUCAGAUACAAGAGAAGCCACACGAAAACACAAUGAAGUCUAUUUUUUUUUUAAUGUAAACUGUAAAGUCCUCCUUGGGUUAACUUAUUUUUAUAACAAAAUGAUAAGAAAAGACUAAAUUAAACAAACCCCACCAGGGGCUCCCGACAAGUAGCAUAUAUUAAAUUCAAGGCUAUUCCCAGUGCCCUGAGCUAUUAAGGAUGAAUAGAUGGUUUUCUCCAAGGUCAGUCAUAGGUCUGGGGGAGAUGGAUUCGCCAUCUUCAAUCAAGACACCUUUCUUGCAAAUGUCAGUGGGGUCUCAGCUUCAACUCCAGCAGAUGGGACAUCACCAGAUGUCACCGUCACCAACCUGCAUAUAAAGCCUUUAUCAGCGUGCUCAUCACAUACUAGGUACUUUGCAAGCAUUAUCUCAUUCAACAUUCUCCAUUCUGCACAGAGGAUACUGAGACCUACAGCGGGGUAGGGACUGACAGUAAUAUUUGCAGUGCUCUGAAAGUCCUGUUUCACAUGGUUAGCAUCUGCAGUUCUAAAGGCCCGGCGUGGCCGAAACACCCCCUGCCAUAAUUGGAGAAAUAGUCCAGGUUCCAUCCAAAGAUAGAUGAGAAGGGAAGCUCUUUUAAAUAGGAAGAGAGAUAUAAAAUACGGCACAGAGGAACCUAGCUACAAAACAGACACAGACUCGUGGACAAAGAGAACAGACUUGUGGAUGCCAAGGGGGAGACAGGAGGGAGUGGGAUGGAUGGGGAGUUUGGAGUUAGUAGAUGCAAGAUAUUACAUUUAGAAAGGAUGCAACAAGGUCCUACUAAAUAGCCCGGGGAACUAAAUCCAAUCUUUUGGGAAAGAAGAUUAUGGAAGAUAAUAUAAGAAAGGGAAUAAUAUAUAUAUAUAUAUAUAUAUAUAUAUAUAUAUAUGACGGGGUUGCUUUGCUGUACAGUAGAAAUUGGCACAUUGCAAAUCACCUAUACUUUAAUUUUUUAUAGUUUUCUUAUUUUUAAAAAAUAGAAGAAAGGCAAGGUAUUCUUUUCCUGAAAUCUUGUUAAUUCUGACUUCUUAUCUCCCUCCCUACUCCUGAUACCAACCUGUGUAGGAAAAACUCACUCUUUCUUCCUUUGCUCACACACAAUACUUCUGACACCAGAUGUGUGGGGUUCUCCCAACACACAGUUUUUGGUGACACCAGCUGGGUGUACUACAAUUCAAUUCAUUUCUGCCACUCACUGGAGUUAGCCCAGACCCCAUGGGUUCAGGGCUGUCUCACAAGACGGCUCCCCACUUCAGACUCUCAUCACAAUAGGUCCCCGUGGGCGUUACCCACAACGUCUCUCUGACUUGGCUACAGAUUAGAAGUUCCCAUGACUCUCUUCCUUGGAUCUGAUCAUUUGCUAGAACAGCACUCAGGACUCAAGGAAACACAUUUACCAAUGUAUUAUAGAAUAAAGGAUAUGAAAAAAGACUUAGAGGAAGAGCCAGGUGAAGAGAUAAGCAGGGUGAGAUCGAGAAAGGUCCAUCCCUGUGAAGUUGGCAUCCAGUAUCCUCCCAGCACGUGGGAAGCUCUCCAAACCCCGUACUUGAGAAUUUGUAUGGAGUUUUCACCCCUUAGGCAUGAUGGGUGAUGGAUCAGCAUCUGGCCCUUCUUUCCUUCCUGGAGUACGUGGUGGGGGGUGACUUCCAAGCUUCUAAUCAUGGCUUGGUCUUUCUGAUCAUCAGCUCCCAUCCUGACGCUACCCCAGGAGUCACCUCAUUGGAGCAAAAGACACUCCUGUCACCCAGGAAAUCCCAAGGAUUUAGGAGCCCUGGGUCAGCAACUGGGGUCAAAGAUCAAAUAUUGAAACAAAAGAUACCCCUGUGGUUCUUAUCAUGUAGGAAAUUCCAAGGGUGUCAGGAGCUCUGGACCAGGAACUGGGGGCAGAGAUCAAUAUAUACAUUUUCCAUUAUUUCACACAACCACUGUUGGAAAUGGCCACAGAACAAUUACAGAUUUUCUGGACUGAGGUCCAGUCAGUGGCGAACCUCAGAGGCUCGCCACACUCUCCUUGCUUGCCAGCACGUGGAGGGAGAUUCAUGGCCCACGUGCAGACUGACCAAUGAGCGUGAGACCAGGGGUUGUCUGCACAUCCUGACGCCCUGAUCCGAGCAGAGGGCUGAGGAGUCAGGCUCAGACCCUGGAGAGGAGCCCACAGCUGACUUGGCCUCUGGACCCCAUUUUCCCAGGACACCGUGAAGCCAACCACCUGUGGGCGUGCUGUGGGAUGCGAGACCCUGCCGUCUGAAGCCUAUCAGCUGGAGAGGAGGAAGGAAUAUCUCUUUUUGUUCAGCACAUUUCCUGAAGCAUCGUAUGUGUGAGCUCCCACCCUGGUGGCUGUGAGGUGCAAAGAAAAAAAAAGUAGAGUGUAAAUGAAUUUUCCUUCCCCACCCUUAACUGUGAUAAGCAUCACCUUGUUUUUCUAAAUCAAAUUAAAUCUAACUUUGAGCCUUCACUCAGUCGGGUGGUGGGGGAUACAAUAUUCCAGGGGCGUCUCAGAAAUCCAGUGGAGACAGAAGGCAGAGAAAUCACAGCCCAACCCACGCAGGGUCCUUGGGGAGGCAGGUGUCCAAGGCACUCAGCAGUUACACUUCCUGGCUCAUUUCCUUCCCAGACACAGGGACCCUUCCCAGAGUUGGCUCUUCUCACUGACCUGUCCAAGGACUUCCUUUUAACCUGUCCCCUUGGGAAGACACUCCAUAUCUCCCUUCUGUGGGUCCCUAGAGACACUCUUUCCUGAACUGGGAGCAGAAGAAAGAGAUGGGAGAAAAUAGUCAAAGUCGUCUUGAUAAUUUACCCUGAAAUCCUAUUAACAAUAAUUAAAUUAGUAGUGCUUAUUCUUUUGGUUAUUGCUAUGCCAGCUUCUAUCCUAGGCAGUUUGUCCUAUGUGACUUAAUUUUAUUUACUUUUCCAACCCCCAGAGCAGAGUCUGAGUUAAUUAUACCCCCCCAGUUCACAGGGUACAGCCGUCGCUGGUCCAAAGCUGGACUCUUGGUUGUUCAUUCACUCAUUCGUUCUGUCUUUCCCCCUUCCCACCCUACGAGCGACCUUUCAAAUGUGAUUAAUAAGGUGUCUUUUGGUUUCCAUGCACUCCUUAAAAUGUGUAUUGUGAAUUUUUGCAUGUGCAUUUUAAUGUGAAUAAAUGGUACUGGAUUUUG